CAAGUACAAAACUCUGUAGAGGGCUUUUAAUUUGAAAUGACAGAUGACAGGAAUUGGAGACAGGUGCAGAGCUUAAUUACUCUGAGCAGUGUUUAGUUUGUUACUGCACCACAAAACACCACUCAGUACUGUUUUAAAAAACAGUAAAACCUUAAACUAAAGCCAUAAACAGACAACAGAAAGCUACAGUUGACCACACGUGAGUGAAAUUCACAGAGAUAAAGGCAGACAGUUAACAAACAUAUGAUAAUUGUGAGUUACUUCAGCUUCCUACUUUAGAUACUAUUCUAGCUACACCUGUAGCUACAGCUCCUGUCUUUCAGCUGGAAAACAAACAGUUUAGAGGCAGACGUAAACUGAAUAAAAUCAUACAGAGAGCUGGCAGUGGAAAGUGGGUGAGCAUGCUACUGCUGCUGAAAACAACUCUUGUGGAGACGCUAAGAGAUCCAUACAGACUGUGGACUGGUGUACCCAAUAACAGCUGAAGGGCAACCCUAAAAACACCCCUGUUUGGAUUUUGAAGUUGCUGCCUGUUUCUUUCACUUCUAACAAUGAGGAUGAUCACCACCCACCUCAUCCCCAACUUCCCAACUCAUCCCAAAAGUACUGGAUGGAGCUCCAUUAUUCCAGAGACCACAGUUACUCUGCACUACAGCUCAAGGUUGAGGCUGUAUACACUCUAACCCACGCCUGGCAUUAGGCAUGGUGCCAAUAGAGUCACCUGGAAGCUAAAGAAUGCAGCACAGACCUGCAAAAUAUGAAUGUGAGGCUUUCUUUUAUUGAAUGUGGAUGAGUAACUCGUCUGUUCACAUGGAAAAUUCUAGCCGGAUCCUGUGGGUCAGAUUAUUUACUGAAUAAGCAUAAAAAUGUAUGGCAUGAA
rnacentral:lncRNA from 1 species